GGAAGUGGAAGUCCAACACUGUGUUACUGCAAAGCAGUUUGUUAGGGACUUGUGGCUGAAAUUGUGUGAAUGUGCACUCACUGUUACACUGUAUCUGAUGGCACUAUUUGGUUUAUUUUGAUUUGUUCACUGUGAAUUUUACCAUUUGUCUCUUGGUUAAAGUUUAUGUACUCCCAGGUCAUCUUAUCAUGGUUCUAUUGGUUCAGUGUUUAUGUAUUCCUGUGUGUCUCAUCAUGGUUCUACUGGUUAAUGUUCAUGUAUUCACUUUAUAUCUCAUCAUGGUUCUACUGGUUAAUGUUCAUGUACUGACUGUAUGUUUCUCAUAAGAACUGAAAGAGACUUGCUUUCAAAGUUCAGUGGAUUGAAAUUUGCUAUCGUAAUUUUAAUGGCUCUACUUUGUUAAUGUUAAUCUGCUCACUGUUUUUCUCACAAAAAGUAUAAAAGAUGAAGCGACUCAAAAUGCCAUGUGAUGAAAUUUUUGGUACAAACGCGUGAUCUAUCACUUGCUCGUAUGAUUAAGUCCCAUUUUGCGGCAUAUUCUCUGAAUUUUGAUGUUGCAAUGAAAGAGUCACGACUGAUUGUGUGACACAAACACUUAGAUGUCACGGAUGGACGACUACAUUUAUCAACAAUAUAGAACAGAAUAAAAUGUUUCACUCCAAAUAUCGUUCCAUUUUAAACACAAAGUAGAGGUUUGCAAAAAAGUUUUUUUACUCAGUAAAUAUAUCUCAGGGAAAUAACUAUGUAUCAGCUGAUGAUGUCUUAAAUAGAAGACGAAGCGUCAUCUUUAAAACAAA